UUUUUACGAGACGAAAGCCCUGCACAGCCUCCAGAGCCAAAGUUCAACAAGCCCAGCAGCAGCUCUCUCACACACAAACACACACUCUCACUCUCACACACAAACACACACUCUCACUCUCACACACACACUCUCACUCUCACACACACACUCUCACUCUCACUCACAGACACACACUCUCACUCUCACACACAAACACACACUCUCACUCUCACACACAGACACACACUCUCACUCUCACACACACAAACACACACAAACACACACUCUCACUCUCACACACACAAACACACACUCUCACUCUCACACACAGACACACACUCUCACUCUUACACACACAAACACACACAAACACACACUCUCACUCUCACACACACAAACACACACUCUCACUCUCACACACACAAACACACACUCUCACUCUCACUCACAGACACACACUCUCACUCUCACUCACAGACACACACACACUCUCACUCUCACUCACAAACACACACUCUCACUCUCACACACAAACACACACUCUCACUCUCACACACAAACACACACUCUCACUCUCACACACAAACACACACUCUCACUCUCACACACAAACACACACUCUCACUCUCACUCACAGACACACACACACUCUCACUCUCACUCACAAACACACACUCUCACUCUCACACACAAACACACACUCUCACUCUCACACACACAAACACACACUCUCACUCUCACACACACACUCUCACUCUCUCACACAAACACACACUCUCACACACAAACACACACUCUCACUCUCACACACACAAACACACACUCUCACUCUCACACACACACUCUCACUCUCUCACACACAAACACACACUCUCACUCUCACUCACAAACACACACUCUCACUCUCACUCUCACACACAAACACACACUCUCACUCUCACACACAAACACACACUCUCACUCUCACACACAGACACACACUCUCACUCUCACACACAAACACACACUCUCACUCUCAAACACAGACACACACUCCCACUCUCACUCACAAACACACGCUCUCACUGUCACACACAAACACACACUCUCACUCUCACACACAAACACACACUCUCACUCUCACACACAAACACACACUCUCACUCUCACACACAAACACACACACACACACACACUCUCUCACACACACAAACACACAAAUUCACUUUAUGCAUGCUGCACCCGGCUUCUGUUAACCUGAGAGAGGCGAGGUCAGUCCUGCUUAUCCUCUUGCAUGCAACUCAAUGCGUCUAUGGCAACAUGACCCCAUCCACCCUGUACCCCCGCCACCUCUUCUCUGCACAAGCACGAAGACCCCCAGACACACACACACACACACAUACACACACACACACAAAAACACACACUCAGACGCACACAUCAGAUUACCUCCAGUUAACUGUAUCCCUACACUCUACACUGUUCUUGAACAUACACACAUACACA
rnacentral:lncRNA from 1 species